rnacentral:rRNA from 1 species
AGAGCGAACGUUAGCGGCAGGCCUAACACAUGCAAGUCGCACGAGAAUUGGGCUUCGGCCCAUAGUAAAGUGGCGGACGGGUGCGUAACACGUGGAUAAUCUGCCCUCCGGUGGGGAAUAACUAGCCGAAAGGUUAGCUAAUACCGCAUGAUACGUUUUGGGACAUCCCAGGACGUUGAAAGGAGCAAUCCGCUCGAGGACGGGACCGCGUCCGAUUAGCUAGUUGGUGAGGUAACGGCCCACCAAGGCUCCGAUCGGUAGCUGGUUUGAGAGAGCGACCAGCCACACUGGGACUGAGAAACGGCCCAGACUCCUACGGGAGGCAGCAGUGAGGAAUUUUCCGCAAUGGGCGAAAGCCUGACGGAGCGACGCCGCGUGUGGGAAGAAGGCCUUCGGGUCGUAAACCACUGUCGAAGGGGACUAUACUGAAGGUACCCUUGGAGGAAGCCCGGCUACUACGCGCCAGCAGCCGC